UGUAAGUUGGAGGUGAAAUCCUAUCGGCUCAACCGUAGAACUGCCCCCAAUACUGCAAGGCUUGAGGAAGACAGGGGCGAGCGGAACCAUCAGUGGAGCGGUGAAAUGUGUUGAUAUUGGUGGGAACGCCGGUGGCGAAAGCGGCUCGCUGGUUCUUUUCUGACGCUGAGGUGCGAAAGCUAGGGGAGCGAACGGGAUUAGAUACCCCGGUAGUCCUAGCUGUAAACGAUGGGUACUGGGUAGAAAGACCGCCGAUGGUCCUUCUGCCGGAGCGAAAGCGUUAAGUACCCCGCCUGGGGAGUAUGGUCGCAAGGCUGAAACUCAAAGGAAUUGACGGGGGCUCACACCAGCGGUGGAGCAUUGUGGCUUAAUUCGAGGCUACGCGAAGAACCUUAUCCUGGAUUGGACAUGCUUGAGAACCCCGCGGAAACGUGGGGGUGCCUUCGGGAGCUCUUGCACAGGUGCUGCAUGGCUGUCGUCAGCUCGUGUUGUGAGAUGUCGGGUUAAGUCCCUUAACGAGCGAAACCCUUAUCGUUAGUUACCAGCGGUUCGGCCGGGGACUCUAGCGAGACUGCCGGUGUUAAGCCGGAGGAAGGUGGGGAUGACGUCAAGUCCUCAUGGCCUUUAUGUCCAGGGCUGCACACGUGCUACAAUGGGGUGUACAAAGGGCCGCAAUGCCGCGAGGCGGAGCUAAUCCCAGAAAACACCCCCCAGUUCGGAUUGCAGGCUGCAACUCGCCU
rnacentral:rRNA from 1 species